AUACGUAGGUGACAAGCGUUAUCCGGAUUUACUGGGCGUAAAGGGCGUGUAGGCGGUCUUGCAAGUCAGAAGUGAAAUUCCUGAGCUCAACUCGGGCGCUGCUUCUGAAACUGCAGGACUUGAGUGCUGGAGGGGAUAGCGGAAUUCCUAGUGGAGCGAUAAAAUGCGCAGAUAUUAGGAAGAACACCGGUGGCGAAGGCGGCUAUCUGGACUGUAACUGACGCUGAGGCGCGAAAGUGUGGGGAGCAAACAGGAUUAGAUACCCUGGUAGUCCACACUGUAAACGAUGAAUGCUAGGUGUAGGGGGUAUCGACCCCUUCUGUGCCGCAGUCAACACAAUAAGCAUUCCGCCUGGGGAGUACGGCCGCAAGGUUGAAACUCAAAGGAAUUGACGGGG
rnacentral:rRNA from 1 species